GUGGAUGGAAGAAACUUGGCGAAAUCCAGCGGCGACAGACGAGAAGCACGCCAAUCAGAGAGCCUACGUCACGUGUAAUUAUGAUAUGAUAAAUCCGAGCAAUUGGUUGUUCAGUCAUUUUAUCGAGGUUAAAACUGCGAGGAGGUAAUUUUUUCUGAAAUUUUUAAUGAAAGAUUGAAUUUGAAAAAACUAGAAAUGCUCCAAAAAUUCUAGAAAAAUGAAAGCUAUAUUAAAAAUAAAAAUAAAAAAAACUUAAAAUGUUCGAUUUUUUGGUAUUUUUCUGAGAAAAUUUGAAAAUCAAAAUUUUUAAAAAAAUUUGUUAUAUUUCGAUUUUUUUUUUGAAAAUCGAAAAAAAAAAUUAUUGAAAAAUGAUCAUCGGAAAAUCGAGAAAAAAUGCAGUAAAAUUUUCCAAAAAGACAAAAAAUUGAAAAAUAUACAGUAGUUUUGAAAAAUUCGAAAAAAAAGAAAAAAUUCAAUUUUUUAAACUCGAAUUAAAAAAAAACCAAAAAUUUCAAUUCUUCGGUAUUUUCAACAAAAAAAAACGAAAAAAAUAAUUUUUAAAACUAAAAUUUAACAAAAAACGAAAAAAAAAAUCAAUUUUUCUAGAUUUUCAACAAAAAAUGUUUUAAAAAAAAUCAAUUUUUCGAUAUUUUCAAAGAAAAAAUCAAAAAUUUCAAUUUUUCGUUAUUUUUUACAAAAAAUUUCAAUUUUUCGAUAUUUUUUACAAAAAAAACUUUUUAAAAAAUUCAGUUUUUCUAAAUUUUCAACAAAAAAACGAAAUCCGUAGUGUACUUUCAAAAAGGCAAUUUUUACAAAAUUCGAGUGCACAAAAAUUAUAAUAAUUCACAGUUUUGAGAAGAAAUAUUAUUUUUUACAAUGUCAAUUUUUUUUCAAAAAAGUGUUUAAAAAAUCAAUUUCAUCGUUUCCAGAAUCUACAUCGAACUGCUCUUCAACACACGUGACUGUGAUGCCUACUUGAAUCCCAAAUCCUGUAAAGAAACAUUCUCCGUGUACCUGAAACAAUUCAAAACGUCUCGACCCGGAUCUACAAAAAUCGAGAAGGAACGAUUUUCGGAGGAUAUCGAUAAUUGGAAGAAUAUUGGACGGUUGGCUCGAAGUAAUUCAAAUAUGACGACUGAAACUCUUGGAAUGGAAAUCGACUCGGACACGAAAACGAUUAGAAUUGCAUUCGAAGAGCAAGGAAUUUGUCUUUCACUUUUAAAUGUCAAG
rnacentral:sRNA from 1 species